rnacentral:rRNA from 1 species
UCCUCCUACGGGAGGCAGCAGUGAGGAAUAUUGGUCAAUGGCCGAGAGGCUGAACCAGCCAAGUCGCGUGAGGGAUGACGGCCCUACGGGUUGUAAACCUCUUUUGUCGGGGAGCAAGACCCGCCACGAGUGGCGGAGCGAGAGUACCCGAAGAAAAAGCAUCGGCUAACUCCGUGCCAGCAGCCGCGGUAAUACGGAGGGGGCAAGCGUUAUCCGGAUUUACUGGGUGUAAAGGGAGCGUAGACGG